CACGUAGGGUGCGAGCGUUGUCCGGAAUUAUUGGGCGUAAAGAGCUCGUAGGCGGUGUGUCGCGUCGGACCGUGAAACCUGUGGCUUAACCAUGGGCUUGCGGUCGAUACGGGCAUCACUGGAGUUCGGCAGGGGAGACUGGAAUUCCUGGUGUAGACGGUGAAAUGCGCAGAUAUCAGGAGGAACACCGGGUGGCGGAAGGCGGGUCUGCUGGGCCGAUACUGACGCUGAGGAGCGAAAGCGUGGGGAGCGAACAGG
rnacentral:rRNA from 1 species